rnacentral:rRNA from 1 species
AGGGAAUCUUCCACAAUGGACGCAAGUCUGAUGGAGCAACGCCGCGUGAGUGAAGAAGGCUUUCGGGUCGUAAAACUCUGUUAUUGAAGAAGAACGUGUGUGACAGUAACUGGUCAUGCAGUGACGGUAUUCAAUCAGAAAGUCACGGCUAACUACGUGCCAGCAGCCGCGGUAAUACGUAGGUGGCAAGCGUUGUCCGGAUUUAUUGGGCGUAAAGCGAGUGCAGGCGGUCUUUUAAGUCUGAUGUGAAAGCCUUCGGCUUAACCGAAGAAGGGCAUCGGAAACUGGGAGACUUGAGUGCAGAAGAGGAGAGUGGAACUCCAUGUGUAGCGGUGAAAUGCGUAGAUAUAUGGAAGAACACCAGUGGCGAAGGCGGCUCUCUGGUCUGUAACUGACGNUGAGGCUCGAAAGCGUGAGUAGCAAACAGGAUUAGAUACCCUGGUAGUCCACGCCAGUAA